AACGAACGCUGGCGGCAUGCCUAACACAUGCAAGUCGAACGAGACCUUCGGGUCUAGUGGCGCACGGGUGCGUAACGCGUGGGAACCUGCCCUUAGGUUCGGAAUAACUCCCCGAAAGGGGUGCUAAUACCGGAUAAUGUCUUCGGACCAAAGAUUUAUCGCCUUUGGAUGGGCCCGCGUUGGAUUAGCUAGUUGGUAGGGUAAAAGCCUACCAAGGCGACGAUCCAUAGCUGGUCUUGGGGGAUGAUCAGCAACACUGGGACUGGGACCCGGCCCGAAUCCUUCGGGAGGGAAGAAUGGGGGAAUGUGGAACAAUGGGUGAAUGCUGAAUCAAGCAGGGCCGCGUAAGUGUGAAAGGCGUAAGGGUUGAAAGCGUCUUUACCCGGGAUGAUAAUGACAGUACCGGGAGAAUAAGCUCCGGCUAACUCCGUG
rnacentral:rRNA from 1 species